AAAAGGCUGUGCAUGCCGUGAAACUAGAGGAUUCAAAUCCGAGUUCAACAGUUGUGAGAGAAGGAUAACCUGGAGGAGAUUCCCUGCAUUCUUAGAAUAACUCUGACAAGGAAGCCCAACCUAAGAGAAAUUGAAUAAUUUUAUCAGGAUUAACCUCCCAGGAUAUGGCAGAGUUUGGAUUUCAAUCCUGGUCUAUGAGUCUUCAGCAACCAUGGACACAAUUGAAGAAACUGGUAUUUUUACCCAGGCUUUGACUGGAAUGACAUGCUUUCAAAUAUAAGCAGCCUGCUAUACGGAACCAGACUUGACUUAUGGAGCCAAGAAACUCAAAAUCUUACCAGUUAUAGUCUCACAAUACAGUGAAAUAAAAAUAGAAAUCAAUAUCAAGAUGCUGUCUCAAAACUAUACAAUAUGUGGAAAUUAAACAACUUGCUCCUGAAUGACUUUUGGGUAAACAACAAAAUUAAGGCAGAAGUAAAAAAAUUAUUUGAAAUAAAUGUAAACAGAGACACAACAUACCAAAAUCUCUAGGAUGCAACAAAAGAGUGUUAAGAGGAAAGUUUAUAGUGCUGAAUGCCUACCUCUUAAAUUUAAAAAGAUAUCAAAUUAACAAUCUAACAUCACACCUAGAGGAACUAGAAAAAUAAGAAAAAAACUAACCAGAAAGCUAGCAGAAGAAAAGAAAUAACUAAAAUCAGAUCAAAAGUGAACACAAUUAAGACCUAAAAACACAUACAAAGAAUCAAUGAAACCAAAUCAAAACAAUGAACAGACCAAUAUCAAGUUCCAAACUUGAAUCAGUAUUAAAAAUCCUACCAACCAAAAAGAGCCCCAGAGAGGAAGGAUUUACAACCAAAUUCUACCACGUGAUUAAAAAGAACUGAUAUCAAUUCUAAUGAAAUUAUGCCAAAAUAUUGAGGAGGAGGGACCUCUCUCUAAUUUAUUAUAUGAAGCCAGCAUUACCUUGAUACCAAAAUCUGGAAAAGAAACAAGGAAAAAAGAAAACUACAAAUGAACAUAGAUACAAAAAUCCUCAACACAACACUACCAAAUCAAAUUCAACAGCACAUCAAAAAUUUAAUGCAUCAUGAUCAAGUGGGCUUGAUUCCUGUGAUGCAGGGUCUGCUCAAUAUACGUAAAUCAAUAAAUGUGAUUCCCCACAUAUACAGAAUUGAAAACAAAAACCACAGGAUCAUCUCAAUAGAUGCAGAAAAAGCUUUCAAUAAAAUCCAACAUCCCUUCAUAAUAAAAUCCCUCGAGGAACAUACCUCAAAACAGUAAGGGCAGUCUGUGAAAAACCCAUAGCCAACAUCAUACUAAACAGGCAAAAACUGGGAGCAUUCCCUUUGAGAACUGAAACAGAACAAGGAUGUCGACUCUCACCACUGCUAUU